rnacentral:rRNA from 2 species
CGUCCUAUUAGCUAGUUGGUGAGGUAAUGGCUCACCAAGGCUACGAUGGGUAGGGGUUCUUAGUGGAAGGUCCCCCACACUGGCACUGAGAUACGGGCCAGACUCCUACGGGAGGCAGCAGUAGGGAAUAUUGGUCAAUGGGCGCAAGCCUGAACCAGCCAUGCCGCGUGCAGGAUGAAGGCUCUCUGAGUUGUAAACUGCUUUUGUACAGGAGCAAAAAAAUCCCUGCGGGGGUUCUUGAGAGUACUGUAAGAAUAAGCACCGGCUAAUUCCGUGCCAGCAGCCGCGGUAAUACGGGAGGUGCAAGCGUUAUCCGGUUUUAUUGGGUUUAAAGGGUGCGUAGGCGGCUUAUUAAGUCAGUUGUGAAAUCCUAGUGCUUAACGCUAGAACUGCGAUUGAUACUAU